rnacentral:rRNA from 1 species
GCUAACGCGUUAAAUCGACCGCCUGGGGAGUACGGCCGCAAGGUUAAAACUCAAAUGAAUUGACGGGGGCCCGCACAAGCGGUGGAGCAUGUGGUUUAAUUCGAUGCAACGCGAAGAACCUUACCUACUCUUGACAUCCAGAGAACUUUCCAGAGAUGGAUUGGUGCCUUCGGGAACUCUGAGACAGGUGCUGCAUGGCUGUCGUCAGCUCGUGUUGUGAAAUGUUGGGUUAAGUCCCGCAACGAGCGCAACCCUUAUCCUUUGUUGCCAGCGGUUCGGCCGGGAACUCAAAGGAGACUGCCAGUGAUAAACUGGAGGAAGGUGGGGAUGACGUCAAGUCAUCAUGGCCCUUACGAGUAGGGCUACACACGUGCUACAAUGGCAUAUACAAAGAGAAGCGACCUCGCGAGAGCAAGCGGACCUCGUAAAGUAUGUCGUAGUCCGGAUUGGAGUCUGCAACUCGACUCCAUGAAGUCGGAAUCGCUAGUAAUCGUAGAUCAGAAUGCUACGGUGAAUACGUUCCCGGGCCUUGUACACACCGCCCGUCACACCAUGGGAGUGGGUUGCAAAAGAAGUAGGUAGCUUAACCUUCGGGAGGGCGCUUACCACUUUGUGAUUCAUGACUGGGGUG